GUAAGUGUAAUUUAACAAAAAUACUAGAUUGUGGUUCUAGAAAUAGAGGUUAAACCCCCCUCAUUUACC
rnacentral:tRNA from 1 species